rnacentral:rRNA from 1 species
CCUACGGGUGGCAGCAGUGGGGAAUAUUGCACAAUGGGGGAAAGCCUGAAGCAGCGACGCAGCGUGAGUGAAGAAGUAUCUCGGUACGGAAAGCUCUAUCAGCAGGGAAGAAAAUGACGGUACCUGACUAAGAAGCCACGGCCAACGACGUGCAAGCAGCCGUGGUAAGACGUAGGGGGCACGCGUUAUCCGGAUUUACUGGGUGUAAAGCGGUCGUAUGCGGUAUGUCAAGUCAAGGGUGAAAUCUCCGCGCUUAACGUGGGAACUGCCUUUGAAACUGGCAAACUGGAGUGUGUGAGAGGAAAGUGGAAUUCCUGGUGUAGGAGUGAAAUCCGUAGAUAUCUCGAGGAACAUCAAUGGCGAAGGCGGCUAUCUGGCACAUAACUGACGCUGAGGAGCGAAAGCGUGGGUAGCAAACAGGAUUAGAUACCCCUGUAGUC